UACAGAGGGGGCAAGCGUUGUUCGGAAUUACUGGGCGUAAAGGGCGCGUAGGCGGCCUGUUAAGUCGAACGUGAAAUCCCCGGGCUCAACCCGGGAACUGCGUCCGAUACUGGCAGGCUUGAAUCCGGGAGAGGGAUGCGGAAUUCCAGGUGUAGCGGUGAAAUGCGUAGAUAUUGGGAAGAACACCGGUGGCGAAGGCGGCCAACUGGACCACAACUGACGCUGAGGCGCGAAAGCGUGGGGAGCAAACAGG
rnacentral:rRNA from 1 species